rnacentral:lncRNA from 1 species
CAAACCAUUUUGUUUACUGAAAUGACAAACUUUUCUUUCUUUUUUUAUAUCUUCUUUAAAUAAAUAAAGAAACCAGCAGCAGGCAAGAAUUGCAACCUUGGCUGAACUACAAGAAGGCUCAAGAAAUCCAUACUGCAGCACGUUCCAAGAUGAAAUUCCAAAACAGAAUGAAAUAUUUCCUGGUGCAAAAGACCCUCAGUGGACCAAGAAAUUUGCUUGGAACCAAAGAAACCAGCUAACAACUGGAUCAAGCUAAAACACUGCUUCACCUCCUUAAGCUGUGAUCUCAUUAGAGCUUAGAAGCAGAAGAGCACAGAGCACAGUGAGUAUACAGAUGGGAGGUUGCCAAAGAAAGGAUAUGCUACUGGCAAUUCAUUUG